CCUACGGGAGGCAGCAGUGGGGAAUUUUGGACAAUGGGCGCAAGCCUGAUCCAGCUAUUCCGCGUGUGGGAAGACGGCCUUCGGGUUGUAAACCACUUUUGUAGAGGACGAAAAGUCUAUUGAUAAUACCGAUAGAUGAUGACGGUACUCUAAGAAUAAGCACCGGCUAACUACGUGCCAGCAGCCGCGGUAAUACGUAGGGUGCGAGCGUUAAUCGGAAUUACUGGGCGAGAAGGGUGUGCAGGCGGUUUUGCAAGAUGGAUGUGAAAGCCCCGGGCUUAACCUGGGAAAGCCAUACAUGACUGCAAGACUAGAGUGCGUGAGAGGGGGGUGGGAUUCCAAGUGUAGCAGUGAAAUGCGUAGAUAUUUGGAAGAACACCGAUGGCGAAGGCAGCCCCCUGGGACGCAACUGACGCUCAUACACGAAAGCGUGGGGAGCAAACAGGAUUAGAUACCCCUGUAGUC
rnacentral:rRNA from 1 species